CCACCUGCAGCCCAUCGGCAGGCGCUGCCCUCGGCCGCGGGCUCCCCGUUCAUGCCCCCCCCCUCCUGGGGCUCGGGAGGGGCGCGGUCCGCCCCGCCCUCCCCGAGUUGGCACUGCAGCCCCCGGGGGGCGGAUGCUGCGGAAACUGCCCGCAAGUCCAGCGGCAGGUGCAGGUGAAGCUCAGCGCGCAGGUGAGCCUCGACCUAUGAACCCGGGGGUCACAGUUCAAUGGGGUGCGGGCUCGAUCGCCGGUGGGGCGGGCAGGAGGCAGCCGAUCAAUGAUCCUCUCUCAUCAUUGAUCUUUAUCUCUCUCUCUCUCCCCCUCUCCCUUCCUCUCAAAUCAAUAAAAAACAUUUCAUUAUUUUUUUUUAAGAAAAGAGGAAAAAGAAAAAGAAAAAAGGAAGGUGCCGCAGGUCCGGCUGUGGACAGAGGGCGCCCUCUGGCGGCGGGGAGGCCCGACCGGCUCAGCCCGCAGCUCGCCCGGAAGUCGCCUGCCAGCGGCGCAUGCUCACCGCCCCUCCGGCGCGCUCCCGGGUCACGUGGGCGUAGGCGCGCGGGCCGCCUGGGAAGUGGCCCCCGGGGAACGCGAGCCGGGGCCUGGGGUUCCGCCCGGGUGCGGGGCGGGCGGUCCCCUGCGGAGCUCCCGCGGCGCUGCUGUGCGCGGACGGUGCGGCCGCUGUCCGGUCUGGGGCUCCGGCCCACGUCCUGCCCGCCCCGCGGGAGCCCCGGAAGGAGCGCAGGUGGCUGCUGACCCCCGGCGCCGACGCCCCGGCCGUGGACCGCAGGUUUACCUGCCGCCUCCCGCUGGGCGGUGGCGCGGAGGCGGGACCUGUGUGGCGGCGUGUCCGUCAGUGCCUGGCUCGGCGCUCCGCGUCGGAGGCUGGGCAGGGGGACGUGGCAGAGGAGAAGCCACGUUCUAGAGGCGACUCCACGACACACCCCUCCACCUCCCUCCGCUCUGCCUCCUUCUCUCCUCUCCUUCUUAGAAAACAAGCACAACUUGUUCCUGGAACUCACUGGAGCAGUUACACGCUUCGUCAGCUCUAGUUCAGAGAACGAAACAGUCCCACCAAUUCCUUUGAACUUCCGGACCAUCCUGAUGCCUGCACACCGCGGGCCCUGCCUGGGCCCAGACGGAGCUACAGAGAGGAAGGGAAAGGGAGAGAAACAUCAAUGACGAGAGAACCAUGGAUCGGCUGCCUCCUGCACGCCCCACCCUGGGGAUCGAGCCUGCAACUCAGGCCUGUGCCCUGACGGGGAAUCGAACCGUGACCUCCUGGAUCAUGGGUGAUGCUCACCCACUGAGCCACCCGGCCCGGCUGGAACUGAUCUCUUUACCGGCCCGCACCCCCCUCCUCUCGCUCCCGCCAGCCCCUGUGGGAGGCCCCCAGCACCCGGGGAGCUUCACCCCCGAACAGCUCAUUCCUGUAGGAGCUAUUGUAGGUGGAAGUGGUUUCUGAAUUUCCUCUUCUCUCCCGAGUUAUGUUUUAUCUUACUACUGACCUCUGGCCAACAUUUGAUUUUUAUUUUAUUUAUUAUUAUUAUGUUUUUGUUCAUCCUCACUCGAGGAUAUUUUUCCCAUUGAUUUUAAGAGAGAGUGUGGGGGGGACAUCUGUAAUACUAUCAACAAUA